ACCCAUUAAAAUUACUUGGAUAGGAGGCCUCAACAAACUCACAUAGACUAGUGUCUGAUAUGACAUACUCAGCAAAUGAUAGUUAAAAUGAUUUUCACAAUCCGCCCCAAUUCACACCCAUGGCGAGUAAGCCCUGACUAUACCUCCUGUCUGCUACAGACGCUCCUCGCCGGGGAGGAUUUGGAUAAAAACCUCAUCAAUGUGUGAUACUCAAUUCCGCUACUCCGGGCGGCUAGCUGGCUGUUCUCUUGCUUCUCCCUUCUCUAGGUUUCUGUCCCUGAAGCCGAGGGCCUGGAAAGGGGCUGGACACCCCAUCACACACACUCACACCUCAAAGGAACUAUGAAGGGGGACCCAGUGUUCAUGUGACCCAGGCUGCAGACUCAUGACGUAGGCUGACAAAAGAGUGAUUACUCGGAGAUCCUGGGCUUGGAGGUGGAUGUAGUUUGGGGUUAUUCAUCUUUAGAGAGAGGACGAACGCAUUUUCACUGUGGAAUAUUUACAGGAACGACUCUGUUCGCAGCACAGAGACCGUGGUCCGACCACAAGCAAGGCUGAUCAGACUGUGAUCUCUCCUGCGUGCUGCCGCCCUCCUAGUGAAGAUGCUGCCUUUGCACUUGCCCUCCACACGUCCCCGCUUCCCGAGAUUCCUUCGACUCAGCAACGUCUCUGCGUUGCUGAUCAAGUUUAAAUCUCUCAGGAGAUAAUACAUUUCUUGCCAUUUUCUUGAUUUCUCAGCCUAUUUUCCUUGGGAUUCAUUUAGAAAAAACGAUAAAGGUAAAAGAUACACUGGGAGAAAUUUCCAAAUGAAACACUACCUGUGCCGAGCAGGGAUCCAGGAUCGCAAGCGUCUGGGCGGAGCCCUUAGGUCAAAUUAUUUGUGUUCUGAGAAAGAGAAGGGCAACAAUUAACUAAGGUUUUUAAAAGCACUUCCUGUUUUUAAGUAAAGAAUGCUUUAAGCCUCAUAUUAGGUAAUAAGCGUUCUACAUGGACUUAAAAUCCAGUCUUCCCAGGAAGAACUAUUAUUUAGGAGUUAAUUGCUGUUGCUUGUUCAGUCUUUCUGUGGCCGUCAGAUUAUUGCUGAGUGGGGGCCUCAUAAACAAGAAGCUUCCUAGCCUGUCCUCUCCAGACCAAAUGGACAUGUGUUUCCCAUUUCAACAUUUCAUUGCCCCAACUGAAAACAAAUCAGCUGUGUCUUUGGGAUCUGAAGGGGAGAAGGUUGGGAUUUAUUCCUGGACAAGCCUGAGGAAAACAUUACCCUAAUGGAUGAAAUAUGUUUGUACUAAAGACUUCUUAGAAGUGUUGAACUGAUCUUUCCCAACUCGAUCUCCUUUUCUUUGAAAAGAGAGAAAAUGCAAGAAAGUCCUUCGGUACUCUCCUAGAGCUUUGUCCUCAAAGGAGGAGUAAUGGAUACAACUUGCUUUGGUUUCGGUAAGCAUCAGAAGGAGUGGCCACUGUCUUUGGAGAUUAUUCACGCACCUUUGACAAUGUGGUCCAGAAGUCCCAUUCUCUGUUGGCCAUACACAGCAAUAGAAACCCACUUCCUGUUUUCUAAAGCCAAAUUCCUCCUUUGGUUCAGUUUUUCCCAAGAAGGCUCUCCCUGAUUUCUCAAUACUCAAUGUGGUCAGCAAGAAAAUUGGUGCUGGAAAAAAUAUUUGACUUUCUGUGUAGAAAAUAAUGGUCUCCUAAGACUGCAAGCCCACUGUGGAGGAAUUUUGGCUUAUUUUAUGUUUUGUACCCUGAUGGAGCACAGGAAAUAGGAAAAUAGAUUAUUUUCCUUGGAAAACCCUGAGUGUGUUUGGUUUAGCAAUUGGACAAUUUUUAAGAGUUCAAACUGGCCAGCACAAUGUGGAGCCAUUCUCAAAACGCCAUGUCAGGGUCUGAAGCAUAAUUAGGAAAAUUCAUCAACACUAACGGCUUUAUUCUGAAAUCUAUGCGAUAGGACUGCCCGGCCAGCACAAUAUGUGGGUAUUUUUCUUUUCCGGGUUUCAUUUUGCCAUAAAAGGCUUGGAAACGCAAAGAAACUGGAGAGAUGGCAUGCCCCACAGGGUCCCCAAGGACCCGCUAGCUAACCAGAAGCUGGCACCUUGCUUGUUUCAGUGCUAGGCCACUCAAGCAGUGAAAGUAUGUCAGAGUGGUAUAAAAAGUCUAUUUAAAAUUAUCCUGGGGCACCUGACUUUGGCUCAGGUCAUCAUCUCACAGUUCGUGGGUUCGAGCCCCGCGUCGGGCUCUGUGCUGACAGCUCAGAGCCUGGAGCUUGUUUCAGAUUCUGUCUCUCCCUCUCUCUCUGCCCUUCUGUUCACGCUCUGUCUCUGUGUCAAAAAUAAAUAAACACUAAAAAAAAAAUUUUAAAUAAAAAAAUAAAAAAUAAAUUAUCCUCAUGUAGAUACCCAAAUCAAACUGAAAAUGAAUUGUAGAAGUCACUCACAACAAGAAACCUCACUCAAGCUGGUAAGCCUCCAUCUGGAGAUAGCAUGAAGGAACUCUUCUUAUUUUAGGCAAGAACAAACCUAGGCUCCCAGAACCAACCUGAUUGUCUCUUAGCAGAGACAAUUUGGGCAGAAUCAUCAGGGGUCAGUCUGUGGUUUGCCCUAGAUUACCUUCUGGCUUUCCUAUUCCGUGGUAUGAUGUCUUUCUUUUUGAGUUUUAAUUUUUUUAAUUUUUUUAAAUGUUUUGUUUAUUUUUGAGACAGAGAGAGACAGAGCAUGAGCAGGGGAGGGGGAGAGAGAGAGGGAGACACAGAAUCUGAAGCAGGCUCCAGGCUCCAAGCUGUCAGCACAGAGCCCAACGUGGGGCUUGAACCCAUGAACUGUAGAUCAUGACCUGAGCUGAAGUUGGUUGCUCAACCAACUGAGCCACCCAGGCGCCCCUUGAGUUUUAAUUUUUUAAAGUGAGACCGUAGGUUUUCCUUACAAUCAUCAUUCUGUAAUGCAAAACGAGAGUUUAUGUGGCAAGAUGAUUCGCAUUCGUGUGAAAUGUAAGCAUAUUAUCUCAUGCUGAAAAUCAGAUUCAGUUUGUAUUUGGUACCAACAUGGUUGCCUUCCAAUAGUAGAUGGUGCCUAAAUUUCAGGAAAUUUCAAGGUACGCAUACAGAUAUAUUAAUCAUCAAGAGAAGUAUAAAUACAAGAAUAAGUAAUAAAGAUUAUGAUAAUGGUUAUCAUUGCUUAUUUGCAGAUCCUAGUUCUUGAGGCGUUGAGGACAAUUCUGAACAUAUAAUAUUCUCAGAAGUGAUAGUGGGAACUUUGUUUUGGGUCUGGAUGUUCCAUCAGUUGAUCAACACACACCAUGAGUUUAACCAUUACUUUGCAGCUCAAGCCAUUGAUCAACAACGGUUCCUAGAUCUCACUUCCUACCAGUCAAACUCUUCACCACAGGGUCGUUCCAGGAGCUUCUGUUUCUGCUACUACAUACUUUAUUGGUGUCUCUAACUUUUUCUUAGAGUUCUACAGUCAGGCUAUUUUUAAAUCAACUUUAUUGAGGCCAUAGUUUACAUACAAGAAAAUAUACUUAGUUUUUGCAUGUGGUUUGAAGAGCUUCAACAAACGUGUGCGGUCAUGUAACUAUCAUCCCAGUCAAGAUAGAGAGAACAGUGCAAUCACCUCAAAAAAGAUCCCUUGUAAUGUUUGCAGUCAAUCCUUCCAAUUCCAUCCUCAGGCAACCUACUGAAUUUAUACUCCUCCAGAUUAGAUUUGUCUUUUCUAGAGUCUCACGUAAUGGAAACAAACAUAGACACUCUUUUAUCUGUAUCUUCUUGUAGUCAACAUGUUUUUGAGAUUCAUUCGUGUUGUAGCAUGAAUCAGUAGUCUGGCCUUCUCCCUGCCAAGUAGUAUUUGAUUGUAUAUAUAUACCACACGUAUGUUUAUUCAUUCACCUGUUGUGGGCAUGUAGGUGGUUUCCAUUGGGGCUAUUAUGAAUCAAAUGGCUAUAAACAUUUGGGUAUAAGUUUUUACAUAGCUAAAUGUUUUCAUUUCUCUUGGAUGAAAACCUAGGAGUGGAAUUUCUUGGUUACAUGGUACUGUAUUUUCAGCUUGAUAAGAAACUAAC